CAGUCGCCACGGUAAUACGUAGGUGGCAAGCGUUGUCCGGAAUUAUUGGGCGUAAAGGGCUCGCAGGCGGUUUCUUAAGUCUGAUGUGAAAGCCCCCGGCUCAACCGGGGAGGGUCAUUGGAAACUGGGAAACUUGAGUGCAGAAGAGGAGAGUGGAAUUCCACGUGUAGCGGUGAAAUGCGUAGAGAUGUGGAGGAACACCAGUGGCGAAGGCGACUCUCUGGUCUGUAACUGACGCUGAGGAGCGAAAGCGUGGGGAGCGAACAGGAUUAGAUACCCCGGUAGUCCCUGUCUCUUAUAC
rnacentral:rRNA from 1 species